rnacentral:rRNA from 1 species
UACAGAGGUCUCGAGCGUUAGGCGGAAUUACUGGGCUUAAAGCGUGUGUAGGUGGAUGGGUAAGUACCUUGUGAAAUCCCACAGCUUAACUGUGGAACUGCUGGGUAUACUGCCUGUCUUGAGUCACUCAGGGGCGAGCGGAACAGAUGGUGGAGCGGUGAAAUGCGUAGAUAUCAUCUGGAACGCCAAUGGUGAAGACAGCUCGCUGGGGGUGUACUGACACUGAGACACGAAAGCCAGGGGAGCGAACGGG